rnacentral:rRNA from 1 species
CAGCAGCCGCGGGAAUACGAGGGGGGCAAGCGUUGCUCGGAAUGACUGGGCGUAAAGGGCGCGUAGGCGGAUUGUUUAGUUAGGCGUGAAAUUCCUGGGCUUAACCUGGGGACUGCGCUUAAUACAGGCAGUCUAGAGUGAGGAAGAGGGUUGUGGAAUUCCCAGUGUAGAGGUGAAAUUCGUAGAUAUUGGGAAGAACACCGGUGGCGAAGGCGGCAACCUGGUCCUUGACUGACGCUGAGGCGCGAAAGCGUGGGGAGCAAACAGGAUUAGAUACCCCCGUAGUCCCUGUCUCUUAUAC